GACGAACGCUGGCGGCGUGCUUAACACAUGCAAGUCGAACGGUAAGGCCCUUCGGGGUACACGAGUGGCGAACGGGUGAGUAACGCGUGAGUAACCUGCCCUUGACUCUGGGAUAACAGAUGGAAACGUCUGCUAAUACCGGAUACUCAGCCUUGUGGGCAUCCACAGGGUUGGAAAGCUCCGGCGGUCAAGGAUGGACUCGCGUCCUAUCAGCUAGUUGGUGGGGUAAUGGCCUACCAAGGCGACGACGGGCAGCCGGCCUGGGAGGGCGACCGGCCACAUUGGGACUGAGAUACGGCCCAGACUCCUACGGGAGGCAGCAGUGGGGAAUAUUGCACAAUGGGCGCAAGCCUGAUGCAGCAACGCCGCGUGCGGGAUGACGGCCUUCGGGUUGUAAACCGCUUUCAGCAGGGACGAAGCGCAAGUGACGGUACCUGCAGAAGAAGCACCGGCUAACUACGUGCCAGCCGCCGCCGUAACAC
rnacentral:rRNA from 1 species